GUUUGUGUUAUUCUUUUUCUUUUUAGCAUUUUUGACCACCUGGCCGCAGUAAAGACAGCCGGGGGGAGCCGGUGUUCGUGCGGCUGCCUGAGGGUGUCCGCUCCCCGGCGUCACUCGCGGGGAGCUCCGCUGAUGUUCUGACCCGAGCUGCCUGGACGCCAACAAGUCCGCCGUCUUCGACAAAAUGGGCUGUUUUUUCUUUAGGUAGGGAUUUGAUGGAGCACUGGACGGACAUGGCAGGAGCGCACGCUUCAGAUGUUUUGUCGGGACGGUUUUUGGAUCCUCCGGCGGUCCAGGGCGCGACCACCGCAGCGGGAGUGAGCGGUGAUGGAGCCGCGCUGCCUCCCGCCGGAGCCCGCACGUACUUGGAGGUGUCGGCCGCCGCUCAGGGGUACGGGACCGAGGGAGUUUAUUCUAACGGACAGUACCGGGAGCACAGCAGCCCGAGGACCGGGAGUGGCACCCGUGACAACUCAGCUGAACGGAGUCAGGGAAGCGGGUUCACACCUUGCGGCAUCAUGAAGGAUGGGUCCAAGCAAAGGCAAGUGAGGAAGAAGACUGUCUCCUUCAGUUCAAUGCCAAGUGACCGGAAGACUAACAGCACAGCUGCCUGCAUGGCUUUCAUGAUGGAGGGUUGCGAGAUGAAGAAGGUGCGAUCCAAUUCACGCAUGUAUAAUCGCUAUUUCCUGCUUGACCCAGACAUGCACUGGCUACGCUGGGAGCCAUCCAAGAAGGAUUCAGAAAAGGCCAAACUGGAGAUCAAGAGCAUUAAGGAGGUCCGUCUGGGAAAGAAAACUCCAGUUCUGCGCAGCAAUGGCCUCUCCGAUCAGUUCCCUGACGAGUGCGCCUUCUCGAUCAUCUAUGGAGAUAACUAUGAGUCAUUAGAUUUGGUUGCUAGUACAGCAGAUGUGGUCAGUACCUGGGUCAUGGGCCUGAGGUAUCUUGUGUCUUAUGGCCGUCACACUGUUAAUAUGGUGGAGUCUAGUCAGCCCAGUCUACGAACAUCUUGGAUUGGCUCUGUUUUUGAACUAGCAGAUCCAGAAAAGCAAGGACACAUAGACCUUUUCAGAGCCACCCAAAUAAUCAGGGGCCUCAACCCUGGAAUGAAAGAAUCCAGAAUAGAACUGAAGUUCAAAGAACUCCAGAAAGCGAAAGACCAAUAUGGAGAAGCAAUAAGCAUGGACACCUUUGUGGAGGCCUACUGUGAACUCUGUACACGACCGGAAAUUUUCUUUCUGUUGGUGCAGUUCUCCAGUAACAAGGAAUAUUUGGACAGUAAAGAUCUUAUGCUAUUUGUUGAGGUGGAGCAGGGUGUGGAAGGUGUGACAGAAGACAUGUGCAGGGAUAUUGUUCAGAAAUUUGAGCCAUCAGCUGAAGGUAGAGAGAGAGGCUACCUCUCAAUUGAUGGCUUCACACACUACCUCCUCUCCUCUGAGUGCCACAUCUUUGAUCCCCAGCACAAGCGUGUAUGUCAGGACAUGACACAGCCACUGUCCCACUACUACAUCAACUCCUCACAUAAUGCCUCCCUCCUGGAAGACCAUUUCUGGGGUUCAUCAGACAUCAGUAGUUAUAUCCGAGCAUUGAGGAUGGGCUGUCGCAGCAUUGAGGUCGUUCUGUGGGAUGGCCCGGAUAAUGAACCAGUGGUGUAUAUAGGGAGUUCUGUAGCCUCACACCUAGCAUUCUCCAAAGUAUUAGACAUUAUAAACCAAUAUGCUUUUGAGUGCUCGGAGUAUCCUCUGAUUCUUUGCCUGGUGACCCACUGUUGCAUCCCCCAACAGAGAGUCAUGGCCCAGCACAUGAAGAAGAUUCUUGGGGACAAGCUCUAUUUUGAACCUCCCAACAAGGAGGAUCACUACCUUCCCUCCCCUGAAAAGCUCAAAGGAAAAAUCCUCCUGAAGGGUAAAAGACUUCCUCCCAGCUGCACUGACAUGGAGGGGGAUGUGACAGAUGAGGAGGAGGGUCUAGAAAUGUCCAGAAGAGUGGGGACUGAUGAGAAAGACCAAUUGAAUGGUUUUGGCUGCAAGAGGCUGAGACUGUGCCGAGAACUAUCUGAUCUUGUGUCUCUUUGCAAGUCAGUCCAGUUCAGGGACUUUGAAAUUUCUAAGAGGGACCAAAAAUACUGGGAAAUUUGUUCAUUCAAUGAGAUUGAUGCAAACAGGUUUGCCAAUGAGUUUCCAGAAGAAUUUGUCUGUUAUAACAAGCGAUUUCUCUCCAGGAUAUAUCCAACACCCAUGCGGAUUGAUGCCAGUAACAUGAACCCCCAGGAUUUCUGGAAGUGUGGCUGCCAGAUAGUAGCCAUGAACUACCAAACGCCAGGCCUGAUGAUGGACUUGAACCUUGGCUGGUUUAGGCAGAACGGCAACUGUGGCUAUGUUUUGAGGCCAGCCAUAAUGAGGGAGGAGGUGUCCUACUUCAGUGCCAAUGCACGGGACUCCCUUCCAGGAGUUUCUGCCCAACUUCUUCACUUAAAAGUAAUCAGUGGACAGAAUCUUCCCAAGCCCCGGGGGUCUGCUGCAAAAGGUGACGUAGUGGAGCCCUACAUCUAUGUGGAGAUCCAUGGCAUUCCAGCUGACUGUGCCGAGCAACGAACCAAGACUGCUUCACAGAAUGGUGACAACCCAAUUUUUGAUGAGAGUUUUGAAUUCCAAAUCAACUUACCUGAGCUUGCAGUAUUACGUUUUGUGGUGCUGGAUGAUGACUACAUUGGAGAUGAAUUCAUUGGCCAGUACACCAUCCCUUUUGAGUGCUUGCAGCCAGGCUAUAGGCAUGUUCCCCUCCAGUCACUAACAGGAGAGUUUCUGCCCAACACCACCUUGUUUGUCCAUGUAGCUAUCACAAACCGGCGUGGAGGAGGAAAGGCACAUAAAAGAGGCCUUUCUGUUCGGAAAGGUAGGAAAGCCCGGGAGUACACCUCUACCAAGUCCACAGGGAUCAAAGUAGUGGACGAGCUCUUUCGAGCUUCUACCCAGCCCCUCAGGGAGGCCACAGACCUCAGAGAAAACGUGCAGAAUGCCAUGGUGUCCUUUAAAGAGCUCUGCGGCCUGACCCCAGUGGCCAACAUGAAGCAAUGUAUCCUGACAGUGUCCACCUGGCUCAUGAACAGUGAGCGGGCCCUGCGAGUAACAGUGGACCUGAGCGAGACCUACCCAACCAUGGAAGCUCAGGGUCCUGUACCGGAGCUGUUGCGCAAAGUGCUCAAUGCCUACGACAUGAUGAUCCAAACCAGCAGAACACUGAUCGAGUCGGCUGACAUGGUCUACUCCAGGCUCACACAAGCACAACGUGCAGGUCUCGACUUCCAUGAGGAUCUACAUCGCAUUGGAGCAAAGGAGGGUUUGAAAGGCCGCAAACUUCAGAAGGCCAUGGAGAGUUACGCCUGGAACAUCACAGUGCUUAAGGGUCAGGCAGACCUCCUGAAGCAUGCCAAGAGUGAAGCACUGGACACGAUGCGUCAGAUCCACUGUGCAGCUCAGUCCUGUGGCCUCAGUAAGAACGGAGCAGCUUCUCCGCAGCUUCAGCACCAUCCUCACUACCACCUGCAGCAAAUCCAGCUCCAGCAGCAGCUGCAGCCUCAGGCCCGACCCCACCCACAGCUCCUGCCCCAGCACCCGCCCCACUCCCACAGCAUAUCUCAGGCUUUUUUCCCAGCCUAUCCACAGCUGGCCGCAGUCCCGCUGGUUCAAACUGUUUUACAACCCCCGGCCUAUCCCCAACCUCCACCCAUGCCCUCAAUGCAGCUCCGCCUCCAGUCCAAAAUCCAGCAGCCGAGGGCAGCAGGUCCUCUGGAUGCCAUCCCUGAGAAAGAGACACACAGCGACGAGCCCGUAGGCUCCUGCUGACCCGCAGCCUGUACCCACAGAGAAUCGUACCCAAAGAGAGGCAAGCAGGGCAGGAGGCGUUGAGCCGUAAUGAGAAUGAGAGCACAACAGGAAGUGUGACCGCCGUGACGGUGGUGAGGAAGGUUCGCCGUCCCAGAAGUGAGACGCGAGUCUGAUGGCUUCAGGUUUGGACAUGCCAGAGAGCUGAAGGAGAGAAGAGACGUUGCUUCUAAACAGGGUGAUAAAAAUCAGGUUUAAUUUCCUGCUUGAGCUGGAAGGUGAACUCUCUUCUCUCCGAGUCUCUCUUGUGCAAAGCUGAACAACCAGAACGUCGCGCUUAGCAUUUUCAUUGGAUGGGUCCGUUCUUUACCUCUGUCUCUCUGGGCGGUACGACUGUACGCACGUUCCUCCGCUGCAGUACGUACUCUCACUCUGUGGGUACAGGCUUUACCUCACGCUGGCACUUUAUGCCACAGAUUUGCCUUUUGAGUUCUUUUAGGUUUUAUUUCUUCAUGCUGAUGCUCUUCAUCUUUGCCGCUAGACACAACGUAAUGCUAAACACCAACCCCAGAGAUGAAAGCUUUCUGACAAUUCUCAAAUUUGCAGAUAUGGAGCACACUCGCUCAAGGUCAUUUUAUUUGUUUCAGCAAAACAUUUGUUUUGAGUCAUUUGGUUGCGAGUUGAAAAGAUGAAGAUGAGACGACGGCUUAGGAUGACAUCUUUUAUUUCCUGCUAUUUAGAUUGAGAUUUCGCGAGCAUGUAGAACAUAGCAGUGUUUUAUCAGACUAUCCAAUUUGAGGUGUAAGUGUCCAGUGGUAGUCGUCGUGGCAAUCGCUUGGCGACGAGGACGAUUGUCUCUCGAUCCAUUCCCUGAUGUCUGCAUCCAGUUGUCAAUCUGGAGAUGCUCGUGCUUGGGUUUGCUGACGUGGAAAUCUCGUUGCACGCGAAUAAACCCAGUCCUGGACGGAUCUCUGGUCCAGUGGCUGCAGCCUUCAUCCCCCUUCAGAGCAGUUGGGUUAUAAGCCAUCACCUCCUCUGGCUGAUCCGUCAUUAAGGACAUCUUGUUCCACAGAGCCCAUUAGCCAUCUCAUGUCAGGGUUCCUGUUGGGCCUUCAAGGGGCACACAAGGUCCCCACUGUAAUUUUUCAUACUCAAGUGUCCAGUAUCAACAGCGGUACAUUCCACAUCCAAAAAUCCAGUAAUUAAUAUAAAAAAUAAAUCACUCUGAAUGAUGUGUUUCUGUCCGAUUACCAUUUUCAGCAGAUCUCUAGUGUCCUCAAGUAUGAUUUUAUUUUCUUAGCAUUCCUGGAGUCGGCUGACAGACGACCCUUGUCUCCUCUGUGUGAAUUUUAUUUUAUUUUUUAUUUUUUCCUGAGGAUCCCAGGUUGGAGCUGUGUCACGCCAGAAGUGACAAAGCCCACCAGCCGAUCCAUACUGGAAUAUUUGACCAUCUC